rnacentral:rRNA from 1 species
CGCGUAGGCGGUUGAUUAAGUCGGAUGUGAAAGCCCCGGGCUUAACCUGGGAACUGCAUUCGAUACUGGUCGACUGGAGUACGAGAGAGGGAGGUAGAAUUCCACGUGUAGCGGUGAAAUGCGUAGAUAUGUGGAGGAAUACCGGUGGCGAAGGCGGCCUCCUGGCUCGAUACUGACGCUGAGGUGCGAAAGCGUGGGGAGCAAACA